GGGGGAAUUUAAUGGGACAGAAAGUGAGGGAAGUUCAGGAAGUUCACUCUCGGAGGAUCGAGUAUUGCCAGCCAGCGCCGUCUCUAAAGCUGGAGUAAUUAUAGAGUCAAUGCCUUUCAGAUUCCAACCGCACUUGGGUGAAAAGAUCCAUUCCUUGGAUCCCCACUAAACACCAUUUAAUUACUGAAUGUGUCUGCAACUCCAAAACAGACUGAUGCUUCCUCCCAAAGGAAGACUAUUCUUUCGACACAGAUUAUCUCUGGUUUGAUUCCUGCCAUGGCUGAAAAGAUUCAAACGUUCCCAGGCCUUCUAUCUGCGAUCACCUUUCUGCUUCUGCAUGGAUGACCUCCAAUGCUUAACGUGUCUAGAUGUCAAAUUAACACAAUACUCAACAUGUAAUCUGAUCGUACAAUUUGAUAUUUGAUGAUAAAUUCCUGAGACAUGGAUUCAAUGUCAACAUUUCAAAAAUACUCAGUAUCUCUGUUUCUUUCUACUGAGAUGGAUAAACCUCACCACUUUAGGAAUAAACUGCAGGGUCUGGUUUACACCGAAGAUGGACACAAAAUGCUGGAGUAUCUCAGCGGGGACAGGCAGCAUAUCUGGAUAGAAGGAAUGUGUAACGUUUCGGCUCGAGACCCUUCUUCAGACGCGUCCCGAAAUGUCAUCCAUUACUUCUCUCCAGUGAUGCUGCCUGUCCCGCUGAGUUAGUCCGUCAUUUUGUGCCUGUCUUCUUGAUAAACAUUUUCCUCCAUCUGCCACGAUCAGUGUGUAGAAGGGUCCUGACCCAAAAGGUAAUCUAUCCAUGUUCUCUAGAGAUGUGCCUGAUCCACUGAGUUACUCCAGCACUUUUUGUCCUUCUGUUACUCAACUGGAUCCCCGUUAAGCCUCUUUAUGUCCUCAUUUCUGCUCACAUUCCCACUUAAUCUCAUGUCAUGAAACAAACAUAGAAACGUUACUUUUUGUCCCCUUGGCCAGAGAGUCGAUACAGCUUGCGAAUAGUUGGCACCAGCAUAGUUGGCACCAUUCCUUCGCUCCAUAGAUGCUGCCUCACCCGCUGAGUUUCUCCAGCAUUUUUGUCUACAUCUUCAUCCUCCUCUCUGCAGUUAAACACAUUCUUAUAUGUUUCUCUAUCUUCAACAGAUGUGGGAGUUGACUGUUUCCUGUUUUCUGACAGCUGGAAGCAAGACCCACCCUAAUACUGUGAAUACUAUGACAAUACGUAAACCCACUUACUGCUGAAGAAAAUAUAUAAAGUGCUGGGUAACUCAUUGAAUCAGGCAGCAUCUCUGGAGAACAUGGAUAGUUGACGUUUUGGGUCGGGACCCUUCUUCCGACUGGUUGUAUUAAUGGGGGGGG